rnacentral:lncRNA from 1 species
GUGGCCAGGUCUGUGCCAGCUACUUUGAGGUUAUAGAGAAUUUUCAUAACAUAUAGAAGCUGGCCUUGGGAAGCUAAGAAUCUUAUUGAAGAGAAUGAACAAUGAUACAAGAAACAUUUUCAGAAUUGUAGAUCAUUAUCUGGUGCUAAAAUAAUUGGAAGGAAAAAUGCAUUAGUGACUCUCAACAACACAAUUGGAGGAAGAAAUAAAUAUGGGCCAGAAUAUCAAUGAAAGUCACAUGAAUGAGGUGACUCAGAGGAGGUACGUUAGUCUGGGGAUAGUAAGUCUGGGUUAAUCUAUUAUUAAAUUAUUAGCCUGGGUCUCCUUGGAAGCAGACAGUGAGACAAGGACUUGACUUCAAAUGGUUUAUUUGAGAUAUAAUCCCAGAAUAUAAUGAUUAAAAAGUACAAAAAGGAGACAGGGAAGGAAGAGAACCAGGAAAAGAAAAAAAAAGUGGCAAGCCAUUUAAUAUGUGGAAAACUAAGCAUGUUACUACUGUAGACAAUUGGAGUUUCAUACCACUGGGAAUUCUGGCAGACCAUAUACAAUAUACAUCAGAGUUGCCCCAGCUAAGGGAUGAGAAAGAUGAAUCUUCCAUUGACUAAGAGCUGCUCAAAGUGAUAUUAACUCUUCAUUGCUGCUGGUCACCUAUACACAGAUGGAAUUUGCUCUGCUAGACAGAGAAGAUUUUAACGUGGCUGUGUUUUUCAUUCAGAGAUGCAGAGAUGAGUGCUAUGAGGAUGUGAGUGGGUCACUGAUAGUCAGCAAUAGGUGGGACCAAAAAAAAAACAGAGAGAGAGAGAGAGAAAGAGAG